GCCUAAAGCGUCCGUAGCCGGCUUGGCAAGUCUUUCGUUAAAUCUGACGAUCUAAUCGUUAGGCCGCGGAAGAUACUGCUAGGCUAGAGGGCGGGAGAGGUUGACGGUAGUCCCGGGGUAGGGGUGAAAUCCUAUAAUCCCGGGAGGACCACCAGUGGCGAAGGCGGUCGACUAGAACGCGCCUGACGGUGAGGGACGGAAGCUGGGGGAGCGAACCGGAUUAGACACCCGGGUAGUCCCAGCUGUAAACGAUGCGGGCUAGGUGUUGGGUCAGCUACGAGCUGCCCCGGUGCCGCAGAGAAGUCGUUAAGCCCGCCGUUUGGGAAGUACGGCCGCAAGGCUGAAACUUAAAGGAAUUGGCGGGGGAGCACCACAAGGGGUGAAGCCUGCGGUUCAAUUGGAGUCAACGCCGGGAAACUUACUAGGGCUGACAGCAGGGUGAAGGCCAGACUAAAGAUCUUGCCAGACAAGCUGAGAGGUGGCGCAUGGCCGUCGACAGUUCGUGCCGUGAGGUGUCCUGUUAAGUCAGGCAACGAACGAGACCCCCACCGUUAGUUACAGCGGGUUCCAUCGGAAUGCCGGGUACGCUAAUGGGACUGCCGCCGACAAGGCGGAGGAGGGAGGGGGCCACGGCAGGUCAGUAUGCCCCGAAUGCCCUAGGCCACACGCGGGCUGCAAUGGUAGGGACAGAGGGUUCUGACCUCGAAAGGGGAAAGUAAUCCCUAAACCCUAUCGUAGUUGGGAUUGAGGGCUGAAAUUCGCCCUCAUG
rnacentral:rRNA from 1 species